rnacentral:rRNA from 1 species
UUCCGGUUGAUCCUGCCGGACCCUACUGCUAUUGGGGCAAGACUAAAACAUGCAAGUUGAACGUUUCCAACUAUGGCGAAACGUAUGGGACGGCUCAGUAACACGUGGCUAACCUGCCCUUGAGACGAGUGUAAUCCCGGGAAACUGGGGCUAAUACGCGAUAGGUGAAGAUGCCUGGGAUGGGUCAUCACCUAAAGGACGUUGAGACCAUGUUUCACAGUGUCGCUCAAGGAUGGGGCCGCGGCCGAUCAGGUAGUUGGCGAGGUAACUGCUCACCAAGCCUUUGACCGGUACGGGCCGUGAGAGCGGGAGCCCGGAGAUGGGCACUGAGAUAAGGGCCCAGGCCCUAUGGGGCGCACCAGUUGCGAAACCUCCGCAAUGCGCGAAAGCGUGACGGGGUUACCCCAAGUGCCAUCCGCUGAGGACGGCUUUUCUUUGGUGUAAUGAGCCAAAGGAAUAAGGGGAGGGCAAGACUGGUGUCAGCCGCCGCGGUAAUACCAGCUCCCCGAGUGGUAGGGACAAUUAUUGGGCUUAAAGCGUCCGUAGCCGGCCUGACAAGUCUUUCGUUAAAUCCAGCGACUUAAUCGUUGGGCUGCGGGAGAUACUAUCGGGCUAGGGGACGGGAGAGGCCGAUGGUAUUCUUGGGGUAGGGGUGAAAUCCUAUAAUCCCAGGAGGACCACCAGUGGCGAAGGCGAUCGGCUAGAACGCGCUCGACGGUGAUGGACGAAAGCUGGGGGAGCGAACCGGAUUAGAUACCCGGGUAGUCCCAGCUGUAAACGAUGCGAGCUAGUGUUGGGGUGGUUACGAACCGCUUCAGUGCCGUAAGGAAACUGUUAAGCUCGCGGUCUGGGAAAGUACGGUCGCAAGCUGAAACUUUAAGGAAUUGGCGGGGGGAGCACUACGACGCGGUGAAGCUUGCGUUCAAUUGGAGUCAACGCGG